rnacentral:misc_RNA from 1 species
GGUUAUGCAGCUCCAGAGUAUGUUCAGACUGGCAGGCUGACUGUAAAGAGUGAUGUAUGGAGCUUUGGGGUGGUUCUCUACGAGCUUAUGACAGGAAGGCGAGCAAUAGAGAGAAACCUACCGCGGGCUGAGCAGAAGCUUUUAGAAUGGGUAAGACCAUAUGUAUCAGAUUCAAAGAAGUUCCACCUUAUUUUAGAUCCACGACUUGAAGGAGAUUAUUGCAUCAAAUCAGCCCAGAAACUAGCAUUCCUGGCAAACAAGUGUCUAACAAAACAGCCAAAGUCCCGACCUAAAAUGAGUGAGGUAGUAGAGAUGCUGGGAAACAUCAUAGGUGAGAUAUCAUCUCAAGUUGAUGUUGCCUGUGAACCUGUUUCUGAACAUGAAGAAGUUAAGGAAGAAACCUCUGUGGAGACUGAUGAGUCCAUUAGACAAGGGAAUGGCUAUCGGAAGAAGGUUUUUGAUUUAAGAGAAAUAGUCAACUUGCGGAACAGAUCAAUAGGGAAAUUAGAUUGGAGAAAUUGGACACCUGGGUUGGUAAGAACUUCAGAAUAGACAUUGGGUAGCGAGUAGAAACGCAUACAGCCUUUCUCAUAGUAUUGGAAGAGAAAUGAGUUUAUCCUCACAGUAAAAGAGAUGAAUGCUGGAAUAUAUGAUGCAUAAAGUUGAAGGGUAUUAAUUUUCGUUCUGUUUGCGGGUUAGCUGUAUAUAUAGGUUGUUGGGCCUGAACCGACAAAGACAUGCAAACUACGCUCGUCUCAAAUACACUUUGUAAGGAACAAAUCUGCUUGUCGACUAUAACUUGUAAAUUUUUCCAAGGUGGCUAGCGAGAUGCUGAUUUUCCCGAGUCUUUCUUGCAUGGCUGGAGUGAUUUGUUGAUUUGGGCCAGCCCAGCAGGCUACAGGCUACGUCAUUUCUCAUAGGUGUUUUUAUCAUAUUCUGAGUCUGAACGGUCUUCAGGGCUUCCACAGGUUCUCUGAACUAGGAACUUCCCGUCUGUCCUUGACAUUCUUGUGGAUCGUGGUCUUCUAGAAGAAACAAAACUAUAUAAAAUUUGUCACAGAUGGUUUCUCCCAUACCGGAUGAGAUGGGACUUGGAAUUGACUGGCUUGGGACCUUAGGUAAUGCAUCCCCAAUUUGAACAAGUUGCCGCCAUGGUCUUACUCUGGCACCCACCGCGGUCCAUGCAUUCCCUCCAGUCUGCUUUUCUCUUCAGGAUUCUGCCCUACACAGCAAUCAAUAACAAUGUCAAUUUCCCUCCUCUCUUUUUCUUCUGUUUUUCUGCUUCUUAUUAGAAUGAUCUGGGUCUUGUUACUCUUCUGAAUAAGCUGCUCCCAUUUUAUAGCCUUCUUAAGAGAGGAUGGUUAUAGCUUAGAGCUGUUAAAAGUUUUGCUUGAAUUAAACGGAAAUUAUGCUUUUGAACUUUAUCAAUUGUAUCAACAUUUUACCUCGAAGUAAAC